rnacentral:misc_RNA from 1 species
GAUGAAGAACGCAGCGAAAUGCGAUAAGUAGUGUGAAUUGCAGAAUUCCGUGAAUCAUCGAAUCUUUGAACGCACAUUGCGCCUUCUGGUAUUCCGGAAGGCAUGCCUGUUCGAGAGUCAUUAACAACCGUUUCGAUCCCUUUCUUUCAGAAAUUACAAAGAGGAAAAGGGUUUGGUUAUGGUGGAGGAGGGAAAGGGAGCGUUUAGCCUGUAAAAAAAGAUGCUGUGUUCCGCCUCCCCCCCAAAAUUGUACAGGCGGUCGUGUGCGCCCACGCAUCGAGGUGUUGUAAAAGCUGCCACGGCACUUUUCACCUGUGCAGUGCGAGAUUGGCCAGCCGGUUUAAAAACCCCUCCAAACAAUCAAAGGUUGACCUCGGAUCAGGUAGGGAUACCCGCUGAACUUAAGCAUAUCAAUAAGCGGAGGA